rnacentral:rRNA from 1 species
UACGGAGGGUGCGAGCGUUGUUCGGAAUUAUUGGGCGUAAAGCGCGCGCAGGCGGCCUGGAAAGUCUAUGGGUGAAAUGCCGGGGCUCAACCCCGCGCAUGCCCAGGAUACUCUCAGGCUGGAGACACGUAGAGGCAAGCGGAAUUCCGGGUGUAGCGGUGGAAUGCGUAGAGAUCCGGAAGAACACCGGAGGCGAAGGCGGCUUGCUGGGCGUGAUCUGACGCUGAGGCGCGAAAGCGUGGGGAGCGAACAGG